UUGGUGAGGAUGUGGAGAAAUCAGGGCCCUUGUUCAUCACUGCUGGGAAUGCAACAUGGUGCAGCCACUUUGGAAAACAGUCUGGAAGCUCCUCGGAAAGCAAAACAUAGAAUUACCAGGGGGCCCAACAAUUCCACUCCUAGCGCCAACACCAAGCACUGGCUCCGGCAUGUAAUAGUCGCUCAAUAAACGCCUGACAAAUGAAUGGCACAAAGAAGGCGCUCGAGAAACGUAAACAGUGUUGAAGCAACUCACCUAAUGCCACGCGCUUCAGAGGGAGAAGGGACUUCGCUGGUCGUGUGUGGAUGCCCUUGGUGUUCAGGUGUCACAGGUCCAGCAAAACAAGAACCUCGCUGUAGCCCUGGAGGCCUGGGAGGAAGGGGCCGAGGUGAAACCACGCUCUGGCCAGGGAACUCAUGGAAAAGCAGCCUCGCUUCCUGCGCAGCUGCUCUGGGCCCCCAACCCGGUUUUAAACCACAGCCUCAGACACACUUCGUCUUUGCAGGGUGGCUGAAAAGUUCCGGUAAAGCAACCGUGGGCUUGCUCCAUGCUGGGGCGAAGAGCGGGCAGGAAGCGGGGCUGCGUCAGGACGCGGUGCCUCCCCUGAGAGGCAGGGGGCUGGCGAAGGCUGAGGGGCAGGUGCAGACGGUGAGCCGGGAGAUAGGAAAGGCCUGCUGACGUGAAUGCUGCGCGAGCCUGGAGCCGAGGGGAGCUGAAACCAGAUCCUGUCUGGGCCGCUGAAGGGAAGCUUUUCUUCACUGGGGCACUGCCUGGCGAGGCCCGGAGCGAGCGUGACCUGGGGGCGUCCAGUGCCCGCUCUGAGAAGCCACACAAUACACUGGUGUUUGCGCACUUCCCGUCCCUCCUCGAAUGUAAAGCGCUUUGUUUUUGUUUCUAAUUAUAAAAUAAAUGCAUUGUCAUUGGAAACAAUUCAGACAGUAAGUAGAAAUAUAAAGUGGCAAAAAUGAGCCUUAAUAUCAUUAUACUCAAGCGUUUGAACAUUGUGCCUCUUCUCCAUUCUUUCCUAUGUUUGCAUCCACACACACGUGCUUUGUGAUUGUUUGUUUUGAUUGUUUAUGUUUCUAUUUAUAUUUUAUUAG
rnacentral:lncRNA from 1 species